rnacentral:rRNA from 1 species
GACGAACGCUGGCGGCGUGCUUAACACAUGCCAGUCGAACGGAAAGGCCCUGCUUUUGUGGGGUGCUCGAGUUGCGAACGGGUGAGUAACCCGUGAGUAACCUGCCCUUGACUUUGGGAUAACUUCAGGAAACUGGGGCUAAUCCCGGCUAGGAGCUCCUGCUGCAUGGUGGGGGUUGGAAAGUUUCGGCGGUUGGGGAUGGACUCGCGGCUUAUCAGCUUGUUGGUGGGGUAGUGGCUUACCAAGGCUUUGACGGGUAGCCGGCCUGAGAGGGUGACCUGACACAUUGGGCCUGGACUACGGCCCAGACUCGUACGGGAGGCAGCAGUGGGGAAUAGUGCACAAUGGGCGGAAGCCUGAUGCAGCCACGCCGCGUGGGGGAUGACGGCCUUCGGGUUGGAAACCGCAUUCGCCUGUGACGAAGCGUGAGUGACGGUAAUGGGUAAAGAAGCACCGGCUAACUACGUG